CCGGCGACCGGCGGACGGGUGCGUAACGCGUAUGUAACCUACCUUUGACAGGGGGAUAACAUCGAGAAAUUGGUACUAAUACCCCAUAACAUCACCGGAGGCAUCUUCGGUGGUUGAAAACUCAGGUGGUCAGAGAUGGACAUGCGUUGUAUUAGCUAGUUGGAGAGGUAACGGCUCACCAAGGCGACGAUACAUAGGGGGACUGAGAGGUCAACCCCCCACAUUGGUACUGAGACACGGACCAAACUCCUACGGGAGGCAGCAG
rnacentral:rRNA from 1 species